rnacentral:rRNA from 1 species
UACAGAGGGUGCGAGCGUUGUCCGGAAUCACUGGGCGUAAAGGGCGCGUAGGUGGCCUGGUAAGUAGGGGGUGAAAUCUCGCGGCUCAACUGCGAGGCUGCCUCCUAAACUGUCAGGCUCGAGCAGAGUAGAGGCAGGUGGAAUUCCCGGUGUAGCGGUGAAAUGCGCAGAUAUCAGGAGGAACACCGGUGGCGAAGGCGGGUCUCUGGGCAGUAACUGACGCUGAGGAACGAAAGCGUGGGUAGCGAACAGG